UAAUAUGAACUGUAUAUCUUUAGUGAGGUCUAAAAAUGUGAAGCGAUUAUUUUUUAUUACACUUUUAUGAAAGGGAUUGCUAUGGCAAAGUAUGACUUCAUUUUUUAGGAGCCUCAAGUAUUAGUUGUAGCCUAAAUUCUUCAUAGGUGUGAAUGUAAGUGUGCAUUGUUGUUUGUAUGUGUCCGGUCUCGGGUGUACCCAAACACUCACCCAAAUACAGCUGGGAUAAGCUCUAGCCCAUCCUUGACCCUGAACAGGAAAAUCUUGUAGAAUUAUUGUUUCCCAAUUGUUGUUUACAGUGCAAUUGUGAUAUUGGGUCAUGUCUGCUCAGCCAAGCCAGUAGCCUCAUUCACACUUCUGCUCUUUCUCCUCCCUCUCCUCAAACCGAGCAGUUACGUCUCUUCCCAGAGCCGGUCUGAGCAGUAGCGGUGGAGGCCGAGGUCAGCCAAGCCAUGACCCCGUGUCAAAGGCUUGUGGAAGACACCGACAGGUUGGGCGAGGACGGCGGUGGGAAGUUGAGGAGCUCCAGCACGGCCACGCCCACGCUGCUGCGGCGGGUGAACAUGCAGGAGGCCGCUACCCACUUGUUGCUGCGAGGGUUGUACUUCUCGAUGGAGUUGAGGCUGGAGCUGCCGUCGUUUCCUCCUACGGCAUACAACCAGCCGUCCAUAGCUACCAAGUCGAUUUGUGCCGGGCAAACCUGCGUAUGUUCAUGGCAGCCACGCCCUCCCAGGAGUUGCUCUUGGGGUUGAACCUUUCCACAGAGUUGAGGCAGCUGGUCCCGUCGUUCCCUCCCGCCACAUACAGCAUACCGUCCAGCACGGCGACCCCAGCGCUGCUGCGGCGACUCAGCAUGUUGGCGAUAGAUGUCCACGCGUUGCUCUGUACCAAUCCAUUGGGCGCAUUAACAUCCCUCGCAUACAGCAACGUUUCGCCUUGUGGCAAAAAGAAUAAAAUGUACCUGAGGAUCGUACUUCUCCACCGUUGCAAGAUGUGAGGAGCUAUCGUAGCCACCCACUGCGUACAGGUUGCCAUCUGGAGGGGAAAUGACGGCUUAAAAACUCCUCAAGAGCAACAUGUUGAUGCCACGUUCCUACCUAGAGUUGCAACACGAACAUAUCUCCUGCGGGUACUCAUGGCCGCAAUGGAUGUCCACGUGCUUGUCAGAGGGUCGAAACGCUCAGCACUGUAGAUAGAGAGAAGAAGAAUAUACUGUAUGACACGAAGCUCCAUCAUAACCCCCGGCAGCAUACAGCAGCCCAUGCAAGACCGCCACGCCUAAACAGCUCCGCCGCGUUCCCAUGGAAACCUCCGGUUGCCAGGAGUUAGUGAUGGGGUCAUACGACUCAACAGUUGCCAGGUCUGAGCAUAGAGUCUGUUCCCGAUGGCUGCCACACCCACCCGGGCCCGCCGAGUGGACAUGGAUGCCACCAUGUGCCAGCGGUCCGUCCUGGUAUCGUAUGCUUCACAGUCUCCAUGAAUGGCAAACAGACUGCCGCCACCUGGAGAUCCACACACGCACGCAUAACAACGUUCAAAUACUCAACAGUUUGUCCGUUUUUAAUUGGAUGUGUUGCUUUGAGUUCAUCUCUGACCGACAGCGAAGAGAACAGGGCUGGCGCCCUCGCAGCGCCGUGGCCGCGUCCGGCUGUUACUGAGCACGCCUCUCUGCUCGGGCAUCAGGUGAUACUUCAGCGCCUCGAUCAGCAGGUCCUUGCACUCGGAGUGAUGACGCACCAUCAGCUCCGUGUCCACGUUGCUAAUGAGGAAGUCUCGCCUCAGCAGCGGCAGCCGCACGCACUUCAUCAACUGGCGAGGACAGCAUCAUUUGGCUAUGUUCCAGGGAUGUGGACUUCACAUUUAACACCAAGGUCCAUGCAGCCUUUUGUCAAAUAAUAUGUACUGGUUUUUUCUGUCUACAGCAGGGGGCUCCAGCUUUCAUCAAGAGCUACUUUGACAAAAUUCAGGAAAUACGCAUUGGAACACCUGCACUCACCUGUUUCAGCGGCAGUAGCAUGAACUCCUCCGUCUUGGAGACCUCCACAAAGUGCUGCAGGACGUACUUGUGCGCCGAUUUGAGAAGAUCGCUGCAGGAGUGCGUGUCGGCAAAGCCUCGGAUGCCCAGGCAGUUGGAGGGGUCCAGCUGGCUGAGGAGGAACUUGCAGCAGGCGUCCCGCACCCCGUUGAGCUGCAGUAAGCUCGCCGCCGGAAGCAAUGUCUGAGGAAAGGUGCGGUUACAGGUGGAAGUGGGAAAACAGCCAGAAUGUUGAAAAAUCUACCUUACCUGAACAUUACCCUCCCCGACAACUAUCUCUGCCGUGUAGGCGUACUGGACCAGCUGCUCCAACGCCUGGGGGUCGAUAUCGUGUAGCGUCACGUGGGUCUGACGACUCUCUGACAUCUCAUCUACACAACAACACACAAUGACUGUUAGCAUCCAUUGUGUUCAUAUCUUUAAAACAUUUUCAGGAUCAUGUGGAGAAUAGAGUCUUUGGGGGCAAUUUGGAGGUUGAUGCCUUGCUCAAAGGCACAACAACAGCACUGCUCUUUGUAAACAGACCAACCAGUUCCAAUUGCCAGAUUGUUUUGGCCUCAGCGGGAUUAUUCUAGUAAUCUUUCGAUUAAUUUAAUCGAUAAAACAGACUUUAAAGGGGACCUAUUUUUCAGAACUAACCUUUAUAAAUAAAUGAUAAAUUAGUUAUACUUGUAUAGCGCUUUUCUACCUUCAAGGUACUCAAAGCGCUUUGACAGUAUUUCCACAUUCACCCAUUCACACACACAUUCACACACUGAUGGCGGGAGCUGCCAUGCAAGGCGCUAACCAGCAGCCAUCAGGAGCAAGGGUGAAGUGUCUUGCCCAAGGACACAACGGACGUGACUAGGAUGGUAGAAGGUGGGGAUUGAACCCCAUAACCAGCAACCCUCCGAUUGCUGGCCCGGCCACUCUACCAACUUCGCCACGCCGUCCCAACCUUUCCUACCUAUUGGUACUUGCUGUUGUGUAUUUGGGGUCUGCAUAAGUCCUGAACAUUUUAAAUCAAACCGGAAAUAUUGAUAAAACAAUCUUGCCUUUCUUCAUACUUCUUCAAAACAAGCUAUUUGGAAUUUGCCCUAUUUGUGACAUAUUUCCCAUUAGUGAUGUCAGCAGAUAUCUCCAUAUAUGGUAAAGUUUUACUCUAAGAGCUUUGCGCGAGUUCGUCCAUUAUAGUCCAGUUCCUUCUUUUUCUCUAUCCUCUUGUUGUGGGUCAGACUGGCUCGUACAUGCACAUGCAUCCUCUGCUGUUACCAUUUCUGUUACAAAGUAACGUAUAGUUCUAACUUAUAUCUGUCAGUAGACUCCAUAUGGGAGCGCCAAAACUACAACAUGGCUGACAGGGAGAAGAUGGUGUCGAAGUGGAGGCAUCUAAAUAAGACCGCUCACAAAACAGCGUAUCCUGAAGAGAUGGUCAUAUAGCAACUUGAAGAUGGUCUGUAAAGAACCACCAUUACAUGUUAUGUAGACCACAAGGAAGUGUUUUAAAUGUAGAAAAAAUCAUUAUUAGAUGACCCCUUUAAAAGGGAAACUGCACUAUUAAAAAAAAAAGUGCCUAUCGUUCACAAUCACUACGAAAGACAGGACGAACAAUGUAUUUUUUAAUGCAUUCUAACUUGUAAAUAAACGUAAAUAAUAGUCUGCUUACAGCUGAGCCAAUGGAAGGUCCUUUAUUCCGCCCGUAAAACCCUUUCCAAAAUUUUGUGACUUGAAUAUUAACCAAGUAUUAGUGAUAUUGCUAUGAUAAGCGCGAAUACAGACAAACUAUUUAAAGCGGCGCCAUGAUCACAAGCUUGUGUGCCAAUGUUGACAUAAUUGACUGAUCAGCUGCUUCCUUGCUCGUCAAACGUUAUUGCAGAUCAUAAACCAUGCCUCUAACCUGGAUAGUAGAAGGACGAGGGUGUAUUCCUACAAGUUGGUACACUUUGACAGCCAAUUUAGACCCGGGAAUGGUCAAGAACGACAUGAAAAGACGCUUGGUUCCACACUCCCUUUUCUUCGCAAGGAUUAUGAGUCAUUUUUCAUCUAAAUGGGAAUAUAACAAGAUUCUAUCAGUCGGCAUCCUAAUGACAACAGACCUUGUACAGUAAGUGAUGUUUUAUUAUGUUUGUUGGCUCUCAUUAAGUCUGCAGGGAGUAAUAAUCAGUGAUGUAGUUUAAAAAAAAAGCGAACGUGAUGCGUUUUUUAAAUUAAUGCGCUGAAUAUUAAUUGAAGCAAAAUAUGUAAAUAUUAAAUGUUAUUAUAAAUGUGCCUGUUACUACAUUACAUGUACACUUACAUCAUGUAUAUAAAAACUUAAUGGAGGUGUUUGGAUGUUUUUUUUAAGGGCUUUAUC